rnacentral:lncRNA from 1 species
CACUUUUUGUGUGUGUUGACGUGCUUGACGCAGUACUUUAGCACUUGGUGUGCGUCGACGUGCUUGACGCAGUACUUUAGCACUUGGUGUGCGUCGACGUGCUUGACGCGCUUGACGCAGUACUUUAGCACGUGGUGUGCGUCGACGUGCUUGACGCAGUACUUUAGCACGUGGUGUGCGUCGACGUGCUUGACGCAGUACUUUAGCACGUGGUGUGCGUCGACGUGCUUGACGCAGUACUUUAGCACUUGGUGUGCGUCGACGUGCUUGACGCGCUUGACGCAGUACUUUAGCACGUGGUGUGCGUCGACGUGCUUGACGCAGUACUUUAGCACGUGGUGUGCGUCGACGUGCUUGACGCAGUACUUUAGCACGUGGUGUGCGUCGACGUGCUUGACGCAGUACUUUAGCACUUGGUGUGCGUCGACGUGCUUGACGCGCUUGACGCAGUACUUUAGCACGUGGUGUGCGUCGACGUGCUUGACGCAGUACUUUAGCACGUGGUGUGCGUCGACGUGCUUGACGCAGUACUUUAGCACUUGGUGUGCGUCGACGUGCUUGACGCGCUUGACGCAGUACUUUAGCACGUGGUGUGCGUCGACGUGCUUGACGCAGUACUUUAGCACGUGGUGUGCGUCGACGUGCUUGACGCAGUACUUUAGCACGUGGUGUGCGUCGACGUGCUUGACGCAGUACUUUAGCACUUGGUGUGCGUCGACGUGCUUGACGCAGUACUUUAGCACUUGGUGUGCGUCGACGUGCUUGACGCGCUUGACGCAGUACUUUAGCACGUGGUGUGCGUCGACGUGCUUGACGCAGUACUUUAGCACGUGGUGUGCGUCGACGUGCUUGACGCAGUACUUUAGCACUUGGUGUGCGUCAACGUGCUUGACGCAGUACUUUAGCACGUUUAGUGCCUUGACGCGCUUGACGCAGUACUUUAGCACGUUUAGUGCCUUGACGCGCUUGACGCAGUACUUUAGCACGUUUAGUGCCUUGACGCGCUUGACGCAGUACUUUAGCACGUUUAGUGCGUUGACGCCGUAG